UGGGGAAUAUUGGACAAUGGGCGCAAGCCUGAUCCAGCCAUGCCGCGUGUGUGAAGAAGGCCUUUUGGUUGUAAAGCACUUUAAGCGAGGAGGAGGCUACUUGGAUUAAUACUCUAGGAUAGUGGACGUUACUCGCAGAAUAAGCACCGGCUAACUCUGUGCCAGCAGCCGUGGUAAUACAGAGGGUGCGAGCGUUAAUCGGUUUUACUGGGCGUAAAGCGUGCGUAGGCGGCUUCUUAAGUCGGAUGGGAAAUCCCUGAGCUUAACUUAGGAAUUGCAUUCGAUACUGGGAAGCUAGAGUAUGGGAGAGGAUGGUAGGAUUCCAGGUGUAGCGGUGAAAUGCGUAGAGAACUGGAGGAAUACCGAUGGCGAAGGCAGCCAUCUGGCCUAAUACUGACGCUGAGGUACGAAAGCAUGGGGAGCAAACAGG
rnacentral:rRNA from 1 species